GACGAACGCUGGCGGCGUGCUUAACACAUGCAAGUCGAACGGAAAGGCCCUGCUUUUGUGGGGUGCUCGAGUGGCGAACGGGUGAGUAACACGUGAGUAACCUGCCCUUGACCUUGGGAUAACUUCAGGAAACUGGGGCUAAUACCGGCUAGGAUCUCCUGCUGCAUGGUGGGGGUUGGAAAGUUUCGGCGGUUGGGGAUGGACUCGCGGCUUAUCAGAUUGUUGGUGGGGUAGUGUCUUACCAAGGCCUUGACGGGUAGCAGGCCUGAGCGGGGCACCGGCCAAAUUGGGACGGGGAUACGGCCCAGACUCCUACGGGAGGCAGCAGUGGGGAAUAUUGCACAAUGGGCGGAAGCCUGAUGCAGCAACGCCGCGUGCGGGAUGACGGCCUUCGGGUUGUAAACCGCUUUCGCCUGUGACGAAGCGUGAGUGACGGUAAUGGGUAAAGAAGCACCGGCUAACUACGUG
rnacentral:rRNA from 1 species